UACGUAGGGGGCAAGCGUUGUCCGGAAUCAUUGGGCGUAAAGAGCGUGUAGGCGGUUCGGUAAGUCGGCUGUGAAAGUCCAGGGCUCAACCCUGGGAUGCCGGUCGAUACUGCCUGACUAGAGUUCGGAAGAGGCGAGUGGAAUUCCCGGUGUAGCGGUGAAAUGCGCAGAUAUCAGGAAGAACACCCGUGGCGAAGGCGGCUCUCUGGGACGGUACUGACGCUGAGACGCGAAAGCGUGGGGAGCGAACAGG
rnacentral:rRNA from 1 species